rnacentral:rRNA from 1 species
AGUGAACGCUGGCGGCAGGCCUAACACAUGCAAGUCGAACGGCAGCACAGUAAGAGCUUGCUCUUACGGGUGGCGAGUGGCGGACGGGGGAGGAAUACAUCGGAAUCUACUUUUUCGUGGGGGAUAACGUAGGGAAACUUACGCUAAUACCGCAUACGACCUACGGGUGAAAGCAGGGGAUCUUCGGACCUUGCGCGAUUCAAUGAGCCGAUGUCGGAUUAGCUAGUUGGCGGGGUAAAGGCCCACCAAGGCGACGAUCCGUAGCUGGUCUGAGAGGAUGAUCAGCCACACUGGAACUGAGACACGGUCCAGACUCCUACGGGAGGCAGCAGUGGGGAAUAUUGGACAAUGGGCGCAAGCCUGAUCCAGCCAUACCGCGUGGGUGAAGAAGGCCUUCGGGUUGUAAAGCCCUUUUGUUGGGAAAGAAAAGCAGCAGGUUAAUACCCCGCUGUUCUGACGGUACCCAAAGAAUAAGCGCCGGCUAACUUCGUG